UACGUAGGGGGCUAGCGUUGUUCGGAAUUACUGGGCGUAAAGGGCGCGUAGGCGGCCUGCUAAGUCGGAUGUGAAAUCCCUCGGCUCAACCGAGGAACUGCAUCCGAUACUGGCGGGCUGGAAUCCGGGAGAGGGAUGUGGAAUUCCAGGUGUAGCGGUGAAAUGCGUAGAUAUCUGGAGGAACACCGGUGGCGAAGGCGGCAUCCUGGACCGGUAUUGACGCUGAGGCGCGAAAGCUAGGGGAGCAAACGGG
rnacentral:rRNA from 1 species